rnacentral:lncRNA from 1 species
CGGAUAUGCUUGGCGAUUGGCAAACGCAAAUAACCAUGGGAUCCUGGCUCCGGCAAACGGAGCUGCUGGUCCGGAUAAUGGAGCCGAGCAGUACCGAGCUAUAAGGACCUUUGUAGCUCAAACCCCGGGGGCAGUUGUGGUGUAUAAUUCCACAUAUGUCUGCAAUUACUGCUAUGCUGGAACAACAUGGAUCGGUUAUGAUGAUACUCAAACAGUUUCCACCAAGGUUUCAUAUGCUAAACAAAAUGGACUUCUUGGGUACUUUGCUUGGCAUAUUGGAGCUGAUGACAACUUUGCACUAUCACGACAAGGUCAGUUAUUGACGUGAUUCCAAGAUAAGCAAUUCCCUGUCUGAUUAGAUUUAUCAUUUAUGGAGAAAAUGACCUCAUACGCCCUGAAAAAUUGAGUCUCUAACUGCACCUAAUAAUUGGCUAUGGAACAUUGUCCGUCGAGCUAAUAUUUUACUGUGCCUAGAAUUGAAUGUAUGUUUUUUGAAAUUUUUUCAUUUACAACAUUUAAGAACUACCCUUUUUAGCAAAUGAUAUUUGCAGUCCAUACAUAAUAAUUCUCCGGUAUUAUACUUAUUUUCAUGUAAUAAAAUGUUAAAUUGGAGUGUCAAAAACUAUUUUUAGAGCAGAAUUACCUUUUUUUCUAACUUGUUCACUUGUACAUACAUCCACAAUAUCUAAAAAAUUCUACAAUUCUCAUCUUUGCAAGUUGUAACUAACGCCUACUUUUUACUUGAAUGUAGCUAGCCAAGCAUGGGCAGAUGGAAGUGGUGCUGGAAGCCAUUUGACGUUGCUCCUAGCAAGCCAAAAGAGAGCUGGCAUUGUUGAAUAAUGAUAUCAUUGCUAUGUGCACUCUAUCAAAAGAUGAAUAAAUGUCUUACAGUUUGAAAAUUGAUGUUCAUCAUGUGAAGACUAAUUGCAAACUGACAGGUGGCUAAAUCAAGGAUUAGGCCUAAGCCUUUUUGACUUAGGUAAAGGCGAAGAGAGCAUAAAGAAAUUGAAACAAUGAAAAGAAUGCGUUCCCGUGUCAAGAUCAUCUCUUACAUUGACGGUCAUAGGAUAAUUGAUUGCCAGUAUGAAAAAUUCCAGGCUUUUCAAUUAAUUGAUUGGUCUUUAGAGGGAAUUGACAAUCGAGACACUGAUUAAUGGGAUAUAGAUUGUCAAAAAUUGUUAGUUGUUAACCAAACUUUGCCCGACUGAAGUAAGGGGUUCAUCACAAUUUGCCCAUAAAAGAUAAAAAACAAUAGAUAUCAACGGACAUUAUACUUUUCAACAUCCUAAAAGCAUGUGAAUUUUUGUUUUUUUUUCUUCCAGGUUUGCCUCAGAAUGAUUCCUAAACAAAGGCUACUUCUUUUUUUUGGUAAUAACAAAGGCUGCUUCAGCAGCCGUUAGGCCUAACAUUUGGAAGAUGGUCAAAGCAGCAAAAAGUCUCAAAAUUUAUCAAAACUAUACACAAUUGGACGAGUUGAUAUUGGAUUUUCACUUAAAUGGGUUAAUCCUAACUUGUCCAACUUUAGAUUGGGUUGAUUUUGAGUUGGAUCAUCUUAAACCCAUAACCUAAAUAUGACCCAACAUAUUAAUUAAUACAUUGUGAUACAUAAACUCUCUCUUAUACAUUUACAUACACAAAAAGAUUUUUUUUCACAUAUAUAAACACAUUUUCACAUAAAUAAAUAAAUAUAUUUUCACACACACUCACUUCUUAAUUUUCUUGGAAACACAUCAUAAAUAGAAUAAUAUUUUUAUAUUGCUUGUGUUGCGAAUUUUAGAUAAUAAAUUGUACAUUUAAAUAUAUUAGUAAAAAAAAUUAUUUACUUUAUACUUUUUAAUACUACUAAUUGAUUGAAACUUAUUUUUGUCACAAUUUAUUUAGCACUUUUAUUAUUCAUAUCUACUUUAUUGUAAGUUGUAAUAUUCUAUGUACACGAAUACCAAUUAGGAUGUUGAGCAAUUCAAUAAAAUUUCAACACGAAAUGGUAGAUAUUUGCCAAAUUUGGUAAAGGUAAGGGACAGUUGUUGAUUGUGAAUAAACAGAAGCAAGUAACAAUCGGAGAACAAAAAAAAAAAACUGGGAGAAAAACAAUGUACUCUUAAAAGGCAUAAUAAAUUAUUAUAGAUGUUGAACAAGUUUAAUUAAUGUUGUAAAAGUAAAAUAAGCAUGAGUUUUUAUUUCAAGUUUCUUUUAAAUAAAUAUUAAAAAAAUUGAUUGAAAACAUACAUAUGAAAAUUUUGAAUACAAAUUGGUCAAUGAAUUGUUAACACAUAUCCAAAUGCAAGUGGUUGGGCAUAUGUGUAUUGAAUCUUGUAUUUAUUAUUUUGAAUUAUUUUUUAACAAGUUGGGUAUUGGGUGUUCAAAUAAAAAAUCCAACCCCCCAAUAAAUAAGUUGGUUCGUUCUUUUUUAACCCAACAAAACUCAUAAUCCAACUAACCCAAUCCAUCCUUUAAAAUUAGUGGGCGCAUUGGGCGGGUUGUUGGGUUUUGGACUUUUUCGCCAGCUCUAAUCAAAACUCUUGCAUUAAUUCUUAAUUUAGCAUUUUCUAUUUUUGAAGGAAAAGAAAGUUAGCCAAAGCAGUAAAAGGAAUUUUGUUGAUCAUCUACCAUUGGCACUUCUAUUCUUGAAUGGCCAAGGGCAUCCAUGAGGGAUGGCUGAUAUUAUUUUGGCUUCAAUAACUAUAUUGCCUCUAAAAUUGCUUGCACGAUUUUCUGGCCACAUUGAUCUGUUUACAUUUUGUUUUAUUUGUUUGUUCCUUGUAUUUCCUGUAGGAUAUUUAUGUCAUGCAUCACCACAAUAGGGCUGUUAUAUCGUUGCAUUACUUUUUUUUUUUUGUUUUUUAGUUUCAUUGUUGGUGUCGGUAAAGCUAAUAUUUGACUGGUUCUAUAACGUACGGAUAGGCAGAGUGUAUAUUCCUUUUUAGUUCAGGCGGCCAAAGUGCAAUUACUCCCUAGUUCAAAGGGUAAAGUGUCAUUAAUCUUUUUCAAAAAUUUCCAACAUUUUAAUUUGAAUUCACCUGCAAAAAGAGAGUGAAAAUUGAGACAUAUUCAAACGAUAGACACAAAUAUGUGAAUUUCUAAGAUCGAGGAGAUGAAUUAUCAUUGAGUUUGUAUCUUUCGUAUAAGUCAUAUAUGCCGUUUAAAGUAAGGUUGUCGAUCUUCUAAUUUUUACCCAAUUUAUCUAUCAUAGAGUAUAGUGUAUUGAUAAUGACAUCUAGUAGAAACUAAAUAGUUUCAAGAACUUAAACUUACAUAAUAAGAGAAGGUGCGUUGAUUUGGAAAAAUAUAUAUAUAUAGCCCGACCAAUAUAUGUAUGAUACUCUCCUAAACAUGGUAUUGUGGGAACAGCAUAAACAUGAGAAAAAUUGCUCUCCAUAAAUGAUAAAUGUGCUGGAGGUAAACUUCCCUCGCUGCCAAGAUUCAUUCGACUCCGUAAUUGGUCGGGCAACUUAACUGUCUUUAAUAUUUUGUGGACCAAACUGGCAGGUCCCAAGAUUGAAAAUAACAUCUGUCAUUUAAUCGAAAGUGGCUGCAAUAUUACUAAACAAAUUUCAGUGUGUAGCUACUGAGUACUGAAAGUUGUCACUAGUUUAAUAGGCAAAUAUCUGAUACCCUUGAACAUUGAGACAUGUAGUAGCAUGUUGUUGGCAGCUGUAGAGAUUUAAUAGUUUGAAGGAAAUGUAUAGUUUCACAAUUUUUUGCAAAUACCGCUAUACUGGAAUAACAUGGAGUGUUGAUGAAAGUUUCAAAUGCUAACCAAAAUGGACUUUACAAAUUGGGAACUUUACCAACAAAAUUAGUUUGUAGUGUGACACGAUUUUCAAUUUCCUUUAAAAUUAAAUUUUGGCAUUAUAUAAUCACAGAUGCCCUCAAGACUUGAUCCUCAAAUCCUAUCUGACAAUUGUCUAUGAAAUGUUGUCCCUUGGAUCAAAUUUUUCCUUUGGUAGAAUUAAUUGUACUAUACUUGUUGAGAAAUUCGUGCACUCUGUCAAUUUUUUUUUCAUGUCUUUAGCUCGUAAAAUAGAGAACCUUUUUCUUGACUUCUUCGUUUGUAUAGACAUCCACGGUAUCUCUUAGUUUCUCAUAUCUUUCUGAUUCACAGUGGUUAAUAAGACUAAACCUAAUGCUGGUUGAAGGUUCUCCACUACUCAUAAAUAUAUAUAUAUUUUUGUCACAACGAUAGGAUUCCUAUAACCUAAUCUAGGAGGAGGGGGAGGGGGAGGGGGAGAGGGAAGGAGAAGGGACUCGAUGUGAGUAGAAACUCCAUUGAAGAUGGCUACUGAAUACCGUCACAUAUUGUGACAAAUUUUUGUCUCCACUGCUCAUAUGAGAGCUGACAAUUUUGAGUGAUGAUUUGUUUAUUCCACAAUAGAUAUAUUAGCAAGUUUUCUGGUGCCCAUCACAAUCAAAAGACAAAUAAAUUUCUUAGUACGCAAGUUCCACGAAAGCGACAGCUUGAAAGUUGGUUUUGAAGACAAAUUGCUAACUGACAGGUUACUAAGUACUCAAGCCUAACUCCAGGAUUAGGCCCUAAGGCUAUCUCACUUAGAAGCGGAUCACAUUUUUCUCUUAGAUUGUCCACUAAUUAUGCCUCUAAAUUAGGCAAGGCCAAGAGAGCACAGACCAAUGGAAAACUUAAAAAAAAAAAAAAUUGAAUUUCCUUGUCAAAAUCAUUUUCAGUUGACCGUUUAUGCUUGUAAAAAUAGUGCCAAAGCUUCACCGAAUAGUUAAUUUCCAGUAUGAAAAUUCCAGUGUCAUAGCUUCACUGAAUAGUUAAUUUCCAGUAUGAAAAAUUCCAGGACUUUUCAUUUAAUUGAUUGAUCUAAACAAAUUAAAUCAAACCACGUCUUAGUUUGAUCCCUACUCUAUUUGCAUUCUGAAUUGAAUAAAUACCAAACAAGGUGUCCGUUCCUUCAAAAUUUCCAUGGCUUCGACAAUCAAAUUCAUCUUACUAUCUUUAACUCUCUGUGUUCUCCAUCUUAACUUCUGUCAUGGACAGAAUGCUGUCAAAGCAGGCUACUGGUUUCCAGAUAGUGGAAUUGAAAUCUCAGACAUUGAUUCCACUCUUUUCACUCAUCUAUUUUGCGCAUUUGCUGAUCUUGAUUCCCAAUCCAAUAAAGUCACCAUAUCCUCCUCAAACGCUGGCCCCUUUUCACAAUUCACCAAAACAGUUCAACUCAAAAACCCUUCAGUUAAAACCCUUCUAUCUAUUGGUGGUGGAAGUUCUAAUAGGACUGCUUUUGCUUCAAUGGCUAGUCAACCAACUUCUCGCAAAUCAUUCAUUAAUUCCUCAAUAAAAUUGGCCCGAGCCAACAGUUUCCACGGUCUAGACCUGGACUGGGAAUACCCACAAUCCGCUUCUGAGAUGAAAAACUUGGGCUCACUCCUGGAUGAAUGGCGAGCCGCGGUGGCAACUGAGGCCAAGAACUCAGGCAAGCCACAGCUGAUUUUGACAGCUGCAGUUUCGUUUGCAUCAAAGGUGGAUGGAUUGUAUCAGUAUCCUAUUCCAUCAGUAUCCAGAAGCCUGGAUUGGAUAAAUCUUAUGGCUUAUGAUUUUUACGCUCCAGAUCGUCCAAGUACUUCUACCAGGUGUCACGCUGCAUUAAAGGACCCUUCUGGCCAAGCUAGUGGAAGUUCUGGCAUUGCAGAUUGGGAAAAUGCUGGAGUCGGGGCAAAGAAGUUGGUUCUCGGAAUCCCAUUUUACGGAUAUGCUUGGCGAUUGGUAAAAGCGAAUAAUCAUGGGAUCCUGGCUCCGGCAAAUGGAGCUGCUGGUCCGGAUAAUGGAGUCAAGCGGUACCAAGAUAUAAGGACCUUUGUAGCUCAAACCCCGGGGGCGGUUGUGGUGUAUAAUUCCACAUAUGUCUGCAAUUACUGCUAUGCUGGAACAACAUGGAUCGGUUAUGAUGAUAAUCAAACAAUUUCCACCAAGGUUUC